rnacentral:tRNA from 1 species
GUGAGGAUGCCCGAGCGGCCUAAGGGAGCGGUCUGCAAAACCGUUAUUCGUCGGUUCAAAUCCGACUCCUCACU